GUGCCAGCCGCUGCGGUAAUACCGGCAGCUCGAGUGAUGUCCAAUAUUAUUGGGCCUAAAGCGUCCGUAGCUGGCCGCGCAAGUCCGUCGGGAAAUCCACCUGCUCAACAGGUGGGCGCCCGGUGGAAACUGUGCGGCUUGGGACCGGAAGGCGCGACGGGUACGUCCGGGGUAGGAGUGAAAUCCCGUAAUCCUGGACGGACCGCCGAUGGCGAAAGCACGUCGCGAGAACGGAUCCGACAGUGAGGGACGAAAGCCAGGGUCUCGAACCGGAUUAGAUACCCGUGUAGUCC
rnacentral:rRNA from 1 species